rnacentral:rRNA from 1 species
GAUGAACGCUGACAGAAUGCUUAACACAUGCAAGUCUUUGGCGAAUCUGUGCUUGCACAGGCUAGCCAAGGCGGACGGGUGAGUAACGCGUAAAGAACUUGCCCUGCAGACAGGGAUAACAGACGGAAACGACUGAUAACACCUGAUACAGUUGCCGGCACGCAUGUGCCUGGCAAUGAAAAGAGAUGCUGCAGGAGAGCUUUGCGUCCUAUUAGCUUGUUGGUGAGGUGACGGCUCACCAAGGCGAUGAUAGGUAGCCGGCCUGAGAGGGUGAACGGCCACAAGGGGACUGAGAUACGGCCCUUACUCCUACGGGAGGCAGCAGUGGGGAAUAUUGGACAAUGGGGGCAACCCUGAUCCAGCAAUUCUGAGUGCACGAAGAAGGUUUUCGGAUUGUAAAGUGCUUUCAGCAGGGAAGAAGAAAGUGACGGUACCUGCAGAAGAAGCGACGGCUAAAUACGUG